GACGAACGCUGGCGGCGUGCUUAACACAUGCAAGUCGAACGGAAAGGCCCUGCUUUUGUGGGGUGCUCGAGUGGCGAACGGGUGAGUAACACGUGAGUAACCUGCCCUUGACUUUGGGAUAACUUCACGAAACUGGGGCUAAUACCGGAUAGGAGCUCCUGCUGCAUGGUGGGGGUUGGAAAGUUUCGGCGGUUGGGGAUAGACUAGCGGCUUAUCAGCUUGUUGGUGGGGUAGUGGCUUACCAAGGCUUUGACGGGUAGCCCGCCUGAGAGGGUGACCGGCGACAUUGGGACUGAGAGACGGCCCAGACGCCUACGGGAGGCAGCAGUGGGGAAUAUUGCACAAUGGGGGGAAGUCUGAUGCAGCAACGCCGCGUGCGGGAUGACGGCCUUCGGGUGGUAAACCGCUGUCGCCUGUGACGAAGCGUGAGUGACGGUAAUGGGUAAAGAAGCACCGGCUAACUACGUG
rnacentral:rRNA from 1 species